UGGGUUUGGUAAUAAAAUGAACAAAGUGAAUAAAGUCCAAAAAGAAAUAUUGAUCAAAUUAAUUGGAACAGAGAGUAUAUAUUAUCAUUAUUGCAAUGCACUGUUUGGAAUCACGUUAAAAUAAAUAGGAAUUUUUUUCACAAUGUGUACUAUUUUUGUUUUGCACAUUUUUAUAUUACCUUCCCGGCUAACUUGAGACCUUUUUUUUGGGCACAAAAAUUAAGAAAGUAGUGUGUUGUGUGUAGGUGAAAAAAUAAAAAAGGUGAAUAAAUAGUACUCCCUCCGUCCCAAUAUUCAUGGCUCGUAUUCCUUUUUGGGCCGUCCCAAGCUACUUGGCUCGUUUCCUUUUUGAGCCAUAAUUAGGAGUACAUUAGUAGCUUAAUUAACUAAGCUAUAAAAAGCCAAAAAGUAGCCAAAUUUUCACAUUCAAUCCCCCUCUCCUGUUUUUCUCCACCGCCUCCACCACCCUCCACCGCCUCACGCCUCCAUCACCCUCAAGCCUCCCGCGUCCCGCCUCCACCAUCUUCCUGCGCAACCUCCACCACCAUCCACCGCCUCGCACCUCCACCUCUCCUCCACUGUUUUUCCGGCGAGUUCGCAGCGGCGGCUGAAGCCAUAGCACCUCCACCUCCACCAUCCACCGCCUCGCGCCUCCACCUCUCCUCCACUGUUUUUCCGGCGGGUUCGCAGCGGCGGCUGAAGCCAUAGCACCUCCACUGUUAGCGCGGCCGCCCCUUCUCCCCAAACCCUAGAUCCUUCAAAUCGCAGCCCCUGGCCUCGAUUCCCAGCGAUAGCACGGCCGAAAAGCCACCGCCGCGUGAGAUCUGCCACCUCGCAACAAAGCCUCCACUGCUGCCUCGCCGUUGCCGUCCUCUCAUUUCCAAAUUUUUUGUUGUUGUUUGUCUAUUUUGAAUUCAGUGCAAAAUUUGGGAAUUGGUCCUUCUAAUAAUUGUCAAGAACUGUUGUCCGCCCUUAAGGAAAGGAAAAAUUUUUGAACUCAGAAAAUUUUUGAAUCAAGAACUGUCAGUGAAAAGGAUGAAGAGUUGGAAUUUGGAAACUUUUUGACUUGGCCAUGAAACUUGCGACAUGAGAGGUGGGAAAUUGGAAAACUGUGAGAGGAGAAAUUAGGCGAGGGAGAGAAGAUCAGACGGUAACUCUUAAUCAAAAAC
rnacentral:lncRNA from 1 species